ACUCUAAUAUUAAUCACAAUUCACAUGUGUUGAGGUGGAUUGAGGUGUAAAUUAAACUAAUUUACACCUCAAUCCACCUCAACACAUGUGGAUUGAGGUCAAUACUAGA
rfam:Zea mays cultivar B73 chromosome 10, whole genome shotgun sequence.